rnacentral:tRNA from 1 species
UAUCCUGUUAGCUUAAGUAAAGCAUAAGACUCUUAAUUUUAAGUUGAUAAUAAUUUAUCACAGGAUAA